AAACCUUCAAGUCAAAGGGGCCUGCUGUACUAAUGGAAGAGAGGUCUCAUCAGGACCUUGGGUGUGGUACAUCAGUCUCUCAGUUCCAGAUGAGAGCAAACAGAAUCCUAACAAAUGCAAUCACAAAACUCCUUGAGAUGUACACUGCUCUAGGGAGAAGACCAGACAGAAUACCAGCAGUGACACACAGAUGAUGACACUAGUUUUUUCUCCCCCAGAGGGAGAAUAUGCAUCCUAUUGUGACAAAACUCCUUGUUUGCUGAGAAAAAAGAAGUAUUCUGCAUGGUACCAGCACUGCAGACAUUUGGGGUUUUUUUGUUUGUUUGGUUGGUUGGUUUACUGGAAGAUUUCAUUGAAUAUCUCCCUGGGUUAUAGAACAUUACUUAUUUAUAGGCAUACUCAAAUCUUUUCAACUGAGGUCACAAUCUGACUGAGGUCAGAAAAAAAUCUGUCCUUUCAUUUUCCAGCUGCAAGUUUGAAAUAUCCCAUGGUAAACUUGACAUAAUGGUCUGUUUUCACUUUCCCACA
rnacentral:lncRNA from 1 species